GACGAACGCCUUUGGCGUGCUUAACACAUGCAAGUCGAACGGAAAGGCCCUGCUUUUGUGGGGUGCUCGAGUGGCGAACGGGUGAGUAACACGUGAGUAACCUGCCCUUGACUUUGGGAUAACUUCAGGAAACUGGGGCUAAUACCGGAUAGGAGCUCCUGCUGCAUGGUGGGGGUUGGAAAGUUUCGGCGGUUGGGGAUGGACUCGCGGCUUAUCAGCUUGUUGGUGGGGUAGUGGCUUACCAAGGCUUUGACGGGUAGCCGGCCUGAGAGGGUGACCGGCCACAUUGGGACUGAGAUACGGCCCACACUCCUACGGGAGGCAGCAGUGGGGAAUAUUGCACAAUGGGCGGAAGCCUGAUGCAGCAACGCCGCGUGCGGGAUGACGGCCUUCGGGUUGUAAACCGCUUUCGCCUGUGACGAAGCGUGAGUGACGGUAAUGGGUAAAGAAGCACCGGCUAACUACGUGCCAGCAGCCGCGGUGAUACGUAGGGUGCGAGCGUUGUCCGGAUUAUUGGGCGUAAAGGGCUCGUAGGUGGUUGAUCGCGUCGGAAGUGUAAUCUUGGGGCUUAACCCUUGAGCGUGCUUCGGAUACCGGUUUGACUUGAGGAAGGUAGGGGGGAAUGGAAUUCCUGGUGGAGCGGUGGAAUGCGCAGAUUUCAGGAGGAACCACCAGUGGGGGAGGGCGGUUCUCUGGGCCUUUCCCUGACGCUGAGGAGGGAAAGCGUGGGGAGCGAACAGGCUUAGAUACCCUGGUAGUCCCACGCUGUAAACGGUGGGUACUAGGUGUGGGGUCCAUUCCACGGGUUCCGUGCCGUAGCUAACGCUUUAAGUACCCCGCCUGGGGAGUACGGCCGCAAGGCUAAAACUCAAAGGAAUUGACGGGGCCCCGCACAAGCGGCGGAGCAUGCGGAUUAAUUCGAUGCAACGCGUAGAACCUUACCUGGGUUUGACAUGGAUCGGGAGUGCUCAGAGAUGGGUGUGCCUCUUUUGGGGUCGGUUCACAGGUGGUGCAUGCCUGUCGUCAGCUCGUGUCGUGAGAUGUUGGGUUAAGUCCCGCAACGAGCGCAACCCUUGUUCACUGUUGCCAGCACGUUAUGGUGGGGACUCAGUGGAGACCGCCGGGGUCAACUAGGAGGAAGGUGGGGAUGACGUCAAGUCCUCAUGCCCCUUAUGUCCAGGGCUUCACGCAUGCUACAAUGGCUGGUACAGAGAGUGGCGAGCCUGUGAGGGUGAGCGAAUCUCGGAAAGCCGGUCUCAGUUCGGAUUGGGGUCUGCAACUCGACCUCAUGAAGUCGGAGUCGCUAGUAAUCGCAGAUCAGCAACGCUGCGGUGAAUACGUUCCCGGGGCU
rnacentral:rRNA from 1 species